AUUGAACGCUGGCGGCAGGCCUAACACAUGCAAGUCGAGCGGAUGAAGGGAGCUUGCUCCUGGAUUCAGCGGCGGACGGGUGAGUAAUGCCUAGGAAUCUGCCUGGUAGUGGGGGAUAACGUCCGGAAACGGGCGCUAAUACCGCAUACGUCCUGAGGGAGAAAGUGGGGGAUCUUCGGACCUCACGCUGUCAGAUGAGCCUAGGUCGGAUUAGCUAGUUGGUUGGGUAAAGGCCUACCAAGGCGACGAUCCGUAACUGGUCUGAGAGGAUGAUCAGUCACACUGGAACUGAGACACGGUCCAGACUCCUACGGGAGGCAGCAGUGGGGAAUAUUGGACAAUGGGCGAAAGCCUGAUCCAGCCAUGCCGCGUGUGUGAAGAAGGUCUUCGGAUUGUAAAGCACUUUAAGUUGGGAGGAAGGGCAGUAAGUUAAUACCCUGCUGUUUUGACGUUACCAACAGAAUAAGCACCGGCUAACUUCGUG
rnacentral:rRNA from 1 species